CCCUCACUAGAUGUCGUUUGGGAUGAUGAUGAACCAAUGAACCUGGAUGUGAAUUCACCAAUAGCAUAACACUUGCCAAGAAAUUUUGCCAACAUUCCAGAAUGUAAGCUGCUGGGAUCUGAUAAAGAUGGAAUUAGUGAAAAUGUAAGCAGAUAUGUUUGUGUCUAAUCGAUGGGGAGUGAAGACUAGCUGGUUGAUGUUCAUGUUGGGAGGCCCUUAGGAAGCUUAAGCCUUGUUCUUUAGAAUCCUCAUGGCCUGGGGACUGUUUGGUCAAGGAAAGGAAACUGGCCAGAGACUCAAAUCAAAGGAGAGGAAGAAAUGGGCAUUGCUCUGGAGAUAGAAGUGUGUGCUGAGUUUCUGAAGAGACCUUCCUCCCCAGGAAACAGAAGUCAUGAAAAGGAACCGGAUUAUAGUUUUCUAUUAUGGGCACAAACAGAAGAGGAGAUAAAUCAUAUUUUUUAAAGACUCAGUAUCUCUAAGAUGUCAGUUCUCCCCAGAAUAAUCUACAGAUUCAAUGCAGUUUCAGUGAAAAUCCCAACAAGCUGAUUCUGAAACGUGUAUAGCCCAGGACUCUUAAGGAACAAAGUGGGGAGGCCUACCAAAGGGCACCACUGGCUACCAAAACUUAUAAAAGCUACAGACAUUAAGAUGACGUCGUAUUGGAUUAGGGAAAAACAAAAAGGAACAGGCCAGAAUAGAGAGCUCUGAAGCAGACUCGUACAUUUAUAGUUAUAAGACAGAGGUGGCCCUUCAGUUGAGCAAGGAAAGAUCUUGGGACAGUUGGGCAUUCACAAAGCAUACCUCACAUCACAUAUUAAACAUUACUUCACAUUUAAGACCAAAAUCCAUUUCACACUAAGUGCUAAGUGUUCAAAGUGAAACUGUACAGAUUUUAGAAAAAAAUAGGAAGAAUAUCUUUAAAACAAUUUUUUUAAUGUUUAUUUAUUUUUGAGAAAGAGAGAGAGACAGAGCGUGAGUGGUGUGUGUGUGUGGGGGGGGGGGGGCAGAAAGAGAGGAAGACACAGGACCCGAAGCGGGCUCCAGGCUCUGAGCUCCAGAGCCCAAUGUGGGGCUCGAACUCAUGAACCACAAGAUCAUGAUCUGAGUCACCGUCACUCAACCUGUUGAGCCACCCAGGUGCCCCAAAUAGAUAGAACAUGUUAAUGACCUUCAGUUAGCAAAGGAUUUCUUCAUCAAGAUAACAAGAUACAAAUCACAAUCCAUAAAGAUGGAUAUAUUUGACUCCAUUAAAAUUAAAAAUUUAUUUUCAUUAAAAGACAUCAAGAGGGGGCCCUGGCUGGCUCAGUCAGAGGAGUAUGCGGCUCUUGGUCUCAGGGUUGUGAGUUCAAGCCCCAUGUUGGGUGUAGAGAUUACAUAAAUAAAUAAAUAAAUAAAUCAAAGGAAUGAUAAAUACAAUGCAAGAAUGGUUUCCUGGGGGCAGAAAGGAUAUUGGGAGGGGGUAGAUGAGAUAGGGUGGGUGAGGGGCUCAAGGGCUCCAGUAAAGUUCUAUUAACUGGAAGGUAGGCACAGGGAUAUCUGGGUUUUGCCUUAUUUCGAAUUCUCUAAUUAUUUGUAUGCAUUAAAGUAACUAAGGGAAAAUUUUUAAAGAGUAUAAGUGGCAUUGAGAAAUGGGCUUGAAAUAUUUAAAUGAGGCAUAUUAUAAAAUAUGAGCCAAUGCUUACUAAAAAUUGCAUUUAUAUGCAAAGAUAAAAGAUGGGAAGCAAAGUUAUUUUAUAGUGCUUAUCUCUGGAUUAUAGGAUUACAGGUGAUUUUUCUUUUAAGUUUAUAUUUUUCAUACUUCCUAGAAUGAACAUUUUUGAGAUAAACAGAAAAGCAUAAGGUUUAUUACAUACAGAAAGAAAAAGGGUGUCUGAUAGGCGAAGUACAUAACUCAUAGCUGUUUAAUGCAUUGCCAUGCCGAGACGUGGAUGUAUUUUUAAAAGAAAUCAUUUUUAGCUCCAAGGCAUCACUUUGGGAUGGUGGAAGACCAGACUCCUGACAAGUGGGUCUGAAGCUGUAUUUUUGGACAGGUGUAGAUGGGUGAAUGUGAGGCCUUUUGGCCCUUAACCAUGAGUCGGUCUGCUGGUAGCUCGUAUAAUGGGGAAAGGAAAAUUGGGGUGCCUGGGUGGCUUAGUCGGUUAAGUGUCCAACUUUGGCUCAGGUCACGAUCUCGUGGUUUGUGAGUUCGAGCCCCCCGUCGGGCUCUGUGCUGACGGCUCAGAGCCUGGAUUCUGUGUCUCCUUCUCUCUCAGCCCCUCCCCUGCUCAUUCUCUGUCUCUCUCUGUCUCUCAAAAAUACAUAAAUAAAUAUUAAAAAAAAAUAAAUAAAUAUGGAAAGGAAAAGGUACUGCUAAUAGGAGAGUGACUUAACUCCUGCAGUUGGAUAACAGACCUCAAGGAGUAGUAGGUGUGUGUCCUGUGUCCUCUCUUACCCUCUGCAUUCUAAUUCAUUGCCUUAGAAUUUCCCCACUUACAAUGAAUAUCAAUAGAUAACUAACGGCUGAAAUGAGCCAUACUAACGUACACAAAGGUGGCUUGCGUUCACAGAAUGCGUUUCCUGAUCAGUAAGCCAACAUCAGGGUGUGAUAACACCUACGUAAAGGAAACAGAAUCCUGACACGGUGUCUAAUGACGGCUUUAAAAAGUAUCAAAUUUCAUAUAUUGUGGAUGUUGUGAAAUAUCCCCACAUCAUCUUACAAGACAGGGAAGAUCAAAGGAAAGGGCAAUCCAGAAAAAAGACCUGUUUCUCUCUCAUGCGUGAGAAAGAACACAUAAAAUGGAAGCUGUGGUUACCCCAGCGUAGCCCUUCGGAGAACCGAGGUAACCAUGGUAACGGUUUGGGACAGGCCUUUUUGUUGGAAAGAUUCAAAUUCUAGAACUGUUGGUUGGAUUUGCACAAAGUCCCAUGAGGGAGAGCUGGUGAACUUCAAGUGUGGAGUGGCUCACUCUCUGGGGAGAUAGCAACCUUUUCGUAAAAGAUCCUGGUUCCUAAUUGCCCAUGAGAAGAGCUAGCCCUAUGUAGCAGUCAAAAAUCCCUUAUGUCUAGCAAACUUGCCUUCCUUAAAGUUAUGGUAUUUGGGGAAAAAAACAUUUGGGGAAUACUGGAGAGAUUGAGCUGGAACACCAAAAUUUUCCUCAUAGAUACACACAUUUUAAGAGCAACAAAAUAGAUAAUAUUGUCGAUAAAAGCAAUCAUUAAAAUGUCAAGGAAGGGCCUACUUAGGAUUUAAAAUUCCCAUGAUGCUCUAAUGAAGGCAGUGCUUAUUUCUACCUGGAAAAAUGGAAUAAAAAAGUAUAUACAUAUCAUUAUGAAAAUUCCUCACCUUUCUUGCAGUUUCUUGAGUUUCUCAGAGUCUGCCUUUAUCUUAUUGGCUUCCUUUUCAUCUGUGAAAGCAGAGGCUGCCAUUCUGUUCCCGUUAUCACUUUGAUUUGGGAAAUUAGAGACCGCGAAGAAAGUAAAAGGCAUAUUUUCUUGCAGGGACCCAGGCACGUGCAAAUGGCCUUGUAAGUUCAUUCUUGAUGGUGAGGAGCUAGAAGACUCCCCCAAGGACAAGUUGCUUUGAGGAUUUAGUAAGAGCUCUUCCGUAUAUUCUAGAGCCCCCUGGGAUGGGUUCGUUAAAGGAAUAUCUUCUGCUCCCCUGACAUCAAAUUCAUGUGCACUAUUUACUGGAAAAUAACCGCGGUUCUCAGCACUGGCGAGUGGAUUCCUAUUUCUAAUAGGGGACAAUGGUCGGCGAACAUUAAACCUUGAAUUUCCCUCUGAGUCUGAACUGUGAAUAAAUGUAGACGACAUCGACAAGUCUACUGGAAUAUCAUCUCUCAUGGCAGAAUGCAUUAAUGAUCCAGGAGUGUUAUAAGAUAAACUCACUGGUGAUCUUGGAGCUGUUGGUCUACCAGAGAGAAAACAGUCAAGAGAAUUACUAGAACUGCUUAAGUAGGCAUGCCAGUCUCUUUCAUAAUCACGGAUACCAGGCCUGUCUUCUGUGGAGGUACAGUCUCUAAAUCCAUUUUCAGCACUGAGGUCAUCAUCUAGACUAGCUGUGGAUUUGGUGUCCCAUGAAGGAAAGGUGCUUUUCUCAUGUUCACUGUCACCACUGUCAUUCUCGUUAGGAGACCCUCCACCAGGUGGCUUGAGGUCUUGAGACACCCUUGCCCCCACAGGAAGCUGUUCUGUCACUGGUUCCAUUGCAUUGCUCAUUCUUAAUGAGCCACGACUGGACUCAGUUCUUCUUACCGAAUUUGCUCUGCAAUUUUCAGGACUGUCUUCAAAAUUUUUACUUUUGGCCUGAGUGGCCCACGUCCCAAGAAAUCGACUUCUCUUAUGACUGGGAGGAGAACGAGGCCGGUGCAUACCAACCAACAAAAGUUCUUCCUCUAUGAGGGUCUCCUCCUCAGUGUCAUCAUUUUCUCCUCCAGGGUUUAAUGAUAAAAUGGAAUAAAAAUCUUCAUCUCUGAACCUAAAUGGUGCCCUUCUUGACCCUCCCAUGGUGGUGGUUAGGAGUGGGGGCCCCAAGGACUCACUCGACACUUGAGGGCUGUUUGUUCCUAGGAAGGCCUGAGAUAGGCCUGAAUGUGGCUCAUUCUGAGAAAGAACACUUGAGUCUCCUUUUUUGGCUCUCUCAGAGGUAUUCUCAGUCAUAGUCAUUAGCUGUGAAGAUGGGACUAAGUGUCUUCUCUCUUGAGUUGGCCUCUUCAGCUUGGUGCCACUGGCCCACACUGGGCCCUCUUGUUGAACUAUUGGAUCUGCAUGGAGAAAAGACAAGUUUAUCAUUCUUCUAUAGGUGCUCAUGGAUGAAAGAGCUCGAACACUAAGAGAGUCCCUCAAGGAAACAAGCAAGCCUAGAGAAGGAAAUCUGCACGCUUUAAAACGGCUGGAGGUACAGAAGCAGGACAGUAGAGGUAGCUUCAUUUUCUGCUUCUGGAGUCUUCUUUGUACAUUUUGUGGAGCUCGGGCUGGUUCUGGGGCGACAGGGUGACCCUGAGUAUACAGGUCUUUUUUUUUGUGGAAGCUUUGGGAAGACUGUCCAGCCCAGGUCAGUCAGGGCCGAUUAUGGGGAAAUCUCUCAAAUGCUGGUUUUCAAAACAGUGUUUGUGGAUAAGGAAAACCAGCAGUCCAGGAAUGGCUUCUACAAAAACCACCAGUGCCUUUUCAUCUGGAUUCAUUCAACACGCAUUUAUGACACUCCUGCACCACACACAGCUUUAAAAAAUCUUAAGAAAAUAUAAUCUACCUGGGCAGAUUGGGAGGAAGGCUCUAGAAGCUGGUGUCCAGUUACCCUGAUGACUUGGGUUACAUUUAGUGCUUAGUGCAAUAAAAAUUAUAACUCUCU
rnacentral:lncRNA from 1 species